rnacentral:misc_RNA from 1 species
AAGUCGUAACAAGGUUUCCGUAGGUGAACCUGCGGAAGGAUCAUUGACACACAAUCGAUCUUCACACCACACAAACCUGAUACGUUGGCGUUGUGCGUGGAUUGGGUGCUAUGCAAUGUAUAGCACUCUCCCCACGCACACACAAUAUAUCAAACCUUCUUUGCGCUUCACUGCGUAAAGGCCAAAAACCCUAAAAAACAAAAAAUCUAAAUAAAAAAUCAAAAAUAUUCAACGAUGGAUAUCUUGGUUCCCAUACCGAUGAAGAACGCAGC